rnacentral:lncRNA from 1 species
CCGUUUGCUUUCUUUUUGGCAACAGUACAACACAAUUCUUUCAUCUUUUUAUUUCUUUUUUUUUUUCUUUCAUUUUCUCUAUUCUAGUCAUCUAAUUCAUUCACUUAUUUUCUUUUAUUGUAACAUGUAAAUAAACAACUCUAAAAUCUUCUUUUUGAUUCUUGAAAGUAUGUAUGGCAUAGGUAUUGUUCUUUCUUCUCUACUUUUUUUUUUUUUCUAGAUCUUCAUCUUCUUUAUUCUCACUCUCUCCAUGUGGUCGAAAAUAUCCUUCAAAUCUUGUUAUUGAUGAUUCUCCGGUUCUGAUCCGACUGAAAUGACCAUUGCUCACCUUCUCUGUUCUCACUUCUAUUUUCAUCUUC